UACGAAGGGGGCUAGCGUUGCUCGGAAUUACUGGGCGUAAAGGGCGCGUAGGCGGAUAUUUAAGUUGGGGGUGAAAUCCCGGGGCUCAACCUCGGAAUUGCCUUCAAAACUGGAUAUCUUGAGUCCGGGAGAGGUGAGUGGAACUGCGAGUGUAGAGGUGAAAUUCGUAGAUAUUCGCAAGAACACCAGUGGCGAAGGCGGCUCACUGGCCCGGUACUGACGCUGAGGUGCGAAAGCGUGGGGAGCAAACAGG
rnacentral:rRNA from 1 species